rnacentral:rRNA from 1 species
AUUGAACGCUGGCGGCAUGCCUUACACAUGCAAGUCGAACGUCAGCGCGGGAGCAAUCCUGGCGGCGAGUGGCGAACGGGUGAGUAAUAUAUCGGAACGUGCCCAGUAGUGGGGGAUAGCCCGGCGAAAGCCGGAUUAAUACCGCAUACGACCUACGGGUGAAAGGGGGGGAUCGCAAGACCUCUCGCUAUUGGAGCGGCCGAUAUCAGAUUAGGUAGUUGGUGGGGUAAAGGCCUACCAAGCCUGCGAUCUGUAGUUGGUCUGAGAGGACGACCAGCCACACUGGGACUGAGACACGGCCCAGACUCCUACGGGAGGCAGCAGUGGGGAAUUUUGGACAAUGGGCGCAAGCCUGAUCCAGCAAUGCCGCGUGCAGGAAGAAGGCCUUCGGGUCGUAAACUGCUUUUGUCAGGGAAGAAAUCCUCUGGGUUAAUACCUCGGGGGGAUGACGGUACCUGAAGAAUAAGCACCGGCUAACUACGUGCCAGCCGCCGCAGUAAUAC